rnacentral:rRNA from 1 species
GCGUACUGGGCGCAGCCUGAUCAGCCAUGCCGCGUGAGUGAAGAAGGCCUUCGGGUUGUAAAGCUCUUUCGGCCGGGAAGAAAUCGCAUGGGUUAAUACCCUGUGCGGAUGACGGUACCGGCAUAAGAAGCACCGGCUAACUACGUGCCAGCAGCCGCGGUAAUACGUAGGGUGCGAGCGUUAAUCGGAAUUACUGGGCGUAAAGCGUGCGCAGGCGGUUUUGUAAGACAGGCGUGAAAUCCCCGGGCUCAACCUGGGAACUGCGCUUGUGACUGCAAGGCUAGAGUAUGGCAGAGGGGGGUGGAAUUCCACGUGUAGCAGUGAAAUGCGUAGAGAUGUGGAGGAACACCAAUGGCGAAGGCAGCCCCCUGGGCCAAUACUGACGCUCAUGCACGAAAGCGUGGGUAGCAAACAGGAUUAGAUACCCUGGUAGUCCACGCCCUAAACGAUGUCAACUAGGUGUUGGGUGGGUAAAACCAUUCAGUACCGGAGCUAACGCGUUAAGUGACCGCCGGGGAGACCCACAAUCUUU